rnacentral:rRNA from 1 species
UACGGAGGGUGCAAGCGUUGUUCGGAUUUACUGGGCGUAAGCGCGCGCAGGUGGGUGUACAAGUCGGAAGUGAAAUCUCGAGGCUCAACCUUGAGGCUGCUCCCGAAACUGUACGCCUAGGGACUGGUAGAGGCUGGUAGAAUUCCCGGUGUAGCGGUGGAAUGCGUAGAGAUCGGGAAGAAUACCUGUGGCGAAGGCGGCCAGC